rnacentral:rRNA from 2 species
GACCUCAAAUCAGGUAAGAAUACC